rnacentral:rRNA from 1 species
GAUGAACGCUGGCGGCGUGCCUAAUACAUGCAAGUCGAGCGAACAGACGAGGAGCUUGCUCCUCUGACGUUAGCGGCGGACGGGUGAGUAACACGUGGAUAACCUACCUAUAAGACUGGGAUAACUUCGGGAAACCGGAGCUAAUACCGGAUAAUAUAUUGAACCGCAUGGUUCAAUAGUGAAAGACGGUUUUGCUGUCACUUAUAGAUGGAUCCGCGCCGCAUUAGCUAGUUGGUAAGGUAACGGCUUACCAAGGCAACGAUGCGUAGCUGACCUGAGAGGGUGAUCGGCCACACUGGAACUGAGACACGGUCCAGACUCCUACGGGAGGCAGCAGUAGGGAAUCUUCCGCAAUGGGCGAAAGCCUGACGGAGCAAUGCCGCGUGAGUGAUGAAGGUCUUCGGAUCGUAAAACUCUGUUAUUAGGGAAGAACAAAUGUGUAAGUAACUAUGCACGUCUUGACGGUACCUAAUCAGAAAGCCACGGCUAACUACGUG